CUGCCAGUAGUCAUAUGCUUGUCUCAAAGAUUAAGCCAUGCAUGUCUCAGUGCAAGCCAAAUUAAGGUGAAACCGCGAAUGGCUCAUUAAAUCAGUUAUGGUUCCUUAGAUCGUACCAAGUUACUUGGAUAACUGUGGUAAUUCUAGAGCUAAUACAUGCAAACAGAGUCCCGACCUAACCGGAAGGGACGCUUUUAUUAGAUCAAAACCAAUCGGUCGGUUUGUCCGGCCGUUUGCCUUGGUGACUCUGAAUAACUUUGGGCUGAUCGCACGGUCCUGUACCGGCGACGCAUCUUUCAAAUGUCUGCCUUAUCAACUGUCGAUGGUAGGUUCUGCGCCUACCAUGGUUGUAACGGGUAACGGGGAAUCAGGGUUCGAUUCG
rnacentral:rRNA from 1 species